AAGAAAAAACCUAGAAAAUACUGGAUGAGCUCUAAUGACUUAACAGGCAACCUGGCCCCUGAUAAGACACAGGUGUACUAAAUACAAAACAAGAGGAACAGCCUUGUCCUUAACAGGUCACAGCUGUGGGUGAAAAAAGUGGUGGGUUGGCUACUCAGAGAAAACCUUGAGGAAGAGGGCCUUGUGGAGAUACAAAGAGCCAUUUGGAAAUGGAAGAUGCUGUUGGGAUGCAGUGUUUUCUCCUUCUCAAUUAUCUUGUUCCAGAGGUUCGGCCACUGUUGCUUAGCUGUGGCCAGUGGCAUUGAUUCCAUUUGUUGUAGAGAAAGCUUCUGGCAGUAUCCUGGAGGAUCCUACAGGCAACAGUCGGAUGACUUAAGGCAUUCCAAGUGAUGGACUGUUGCCUUAAUUUGGGCCUGUUUAAACUGAAGUAGAGCAGAUGGAGUAAAGAUAUGAUGAAAGUCUUCAAAUAUUUGGAAGACUGAUGCAAACUACCAGGAAUUCUUUUUUUAGCAUGCCCAUGUAGUAGAAAUAAUGAGGUUAUAUUGCACAGAUUAGAUGUUAGGAAAACCUUUCUAACAGUAAGGAUGCUGGUAAGUUUCUGUAGACUGCUGGGAAAUGUAUGUUUUUCAUAGGCAUAUUUGUUGAGUUCUCACAACUAUGCUGGAUGAAUAUCUGCCAAUAAUGUACUUUUGGAGCUACUAUGGAUUAGAGGGUGCGCUGUGGACUGGAUCAGGGACUAGGGGAGCCCUUAGGAUCCUUUGCAGGACUAUGGUGGUUCUAUGCACUUAAAUGCAUUGCAGAGCCCGAUCAAUUGGGAGGAAGAUUAUUUCUCUAUCAUCAGGUGAAAAGCUUUAAGAGCUAGCAAACAAAAAUCAAAACACCUAUCAGUGAGGUGGUGAGUCUAUGAGAACACAUUUAAAGAUGGCAAAGAGAAGUACUAAGAUUUGCUUAUAAUGGCAUCAGUUAUUGUUUUGCAUUGUGGUAGGAGAGUAACUUGUGGAGAAUAAAGUAAGGGUUUAUGUUGCAGGAGCACCCUUGACCCAUUUUCUGGAGCUGAGAUUCUCAAAGAGAUAAUACCAAGAUAUUGAAAAGAGUUUACUGUGCUUCCAGAAGAUUAAAACCUAGAUGAAUUACAAGAAACAACAUGUGGAUGAAGAAAUUGGUAGAAUUGGAUAGUGGUAGGAUGAGCUCAUUUACAGAUUCAUUGGUUGAUAGCUAUUCUUCUGUCUUGGCUGAGCAUUACUGUCUGGCAGUGUUUGGUAGGCCUUGUGGCAAAAGCAAGCCUUGAGAUGGUAUGAAAUCCAAAUUUAAUAGCUCUUUUUGUUGAACACUUUAAUCUUAUUAAAUUAUUAGGGAAAUUUCAGGGAAUUAUAGAGGGACAGGUGAAAGAACAAGGGGUAAGGCUCAGUAGCUGGAUGAGUUUCUGAAGAAACCUGUUUCUACUGCAGAAAAGGAAGUGAGGGGUGGAGAGCAAAUGCCUCCUUGUGCUGGCUGCAAUGGCAGCACAGAGCACACUAGUGUUAGCCAUUGAGAGGCUUGGAUGUGCCCAAGCAGAGUGUGUCCUCCUUUGGGCAUCCAGUCUGUUUAGAGGGGGGAGGCUGGGGUGUGCCCUGGUUGAGGUUAAUCCACCUCCUUUGCCACACACAAUUGAAGAACCCAGUGACUUCAGUGCUGGAAAUUACUCUCAGAACCCUUAGGCUUCAGAACUGAUUCUCACAGAUUUUAAGUUUAGCCAUAAUGAGGUAGUUCACUAUACUUUUUUUUCCAUCUUUGUAAAAUAAAAUUUGUUUGCUUAUUACAGAAACAUUUUGAGGAUUGGUGAAUUACUUGUAGGGUUUGAAAAUAAACUGGUCGUUGUUGUCAAUAAAACUAUGAAAACCUAAGUACUACAUAACAAACAUUAAUUUGGUGAAACGUUUCAGGAAUAUAUGUGGGGGAUACAUUUUUUUCUUUCUACUUUUAGAAUUAGCUUUAUUUGCAUUUCAUUUUAUUUGUGUUUUUCUUCGGGCUAUUUAAAAGUCCUUGGGAGUUAAA